UACAGAGGUGGCAAGCGUUGUUCGGAAUUACUGGGCGUAAAGGGCGCGUAGGCGGUUCGUUAAGUCCUGUGUGAAAUCCCCCGGCUCAACUGGGGAACUGCACAGGAAACUAGCGGGCUUGAGUUCGGGAGAGGGAAGCGGAAUUCCGGGUGUAGCGGUGAAAUGCGUAGAUAUCCGGAGGAACACCGGUGGCGAAGGCGGCUUGCCGG
rnacentral:rRNA from 1 species